AGGCCAUUCCACAGUCUGGGGAGUCAUCAGUGCCAUCACUGUCAAUCAAAGUCAGCUACUCUUAUCACCAGACUAUCUCAGAAGAGCAGGAGAGUCCCCUGCAGAGCAUCUAUUUGACUCAUGUUGACCCAUUAAGAGUACAGUACAAGACUCACAGCAUGGGAAUGUCUGCUGGAGAUCCCACUAAAGUGGAGACCUUGGCAAACACCAUUGGAAGAAAUAAGCGACAGGGGACUCCUGCUCUGAAGGUGAAAGAAAAACUGUGGAGUGGAAAACACUGAGAAACUUCCCAGUCUCUACCACUUUUAAGAGCCUGGAGAGUACACUGGCCCCACUUCGAUAACCCAGGAUCCGCUCCCUGUCUCAAGGUAGUAUUCCAUAGAACAAAUUUCAUGAUUCCUCCAUUUUGAAGAUUAUCCUUCAACAUUCCAGAAUGUGGUGAAG